rnacentral:rRNA from 1 species
UGGGGAAUAUUGGACAAUGGGGGAAACCCUGAUCCAGCGAUGCCGCGUGAGUGAAGAAAGCCUUCGGGUCGUAAAGCUCUUUUACUUGGGAUGAAAACUUGUGUACUAACAAUAUACAAAGAUGACAGUACCAAGAGAAUAAGCGCCGGCUAACUAUGUGCCAGCAGCCGCGGUAAUACAUAGGGCGCGAGCGUUAAUCGGAAUUAUUGGGCGUAAAGAAUUUGUAGGCUGUUGUGUAAGUUAAAUGUGAAAUCCCUGGGCUUAACCUAGGAAUGGCGUUUAAGACUACACAACUAGAGUAUAUCAGAGGAGUGUGGAAUUCCUAGUGUAGCAGUGAAAUGCAUAGAUAUUAGGAGGAACACCAGUGGCGAAGGCGGCACUCUGGGAUAAUACUGACGCUGAGAAAUGAAAGCGUGGGGAGCAAACGGG